UUACAAUUCCAUUUGAUACUAAUGUUGACAUCAAUAUUAGGAAUGACAAUGUCACUUUAGAAACAAUUGAAGAAGUGUUUUUAGGCCUGAUGAUGAACACUGGGUAUAUAUUUGGCCAACACUACCCAACUAUUUAUAUUGAAGACAAUGAUGAUUCUAACACUCUCUGUCAGUCCUACAUUCCUUGAAGUUUCAGAAAGUGGUAUUUUUUCAUUUACUGUGUCAGUAAAGAUAAAGAGACAGCAGUACCAGUAAAUAUCACAGUAACGCCACUAACCUACCAGCAAUACUCUAACAAAACUGCUACUAAUAACAAUUUACCUUCACUGAGUAGCAUAACAAAUGCUCCUUCUAAUCCUGCUGAAGAACAAGAUUUUGAUAGUGCUAGUGUACAGUUAAGCCUUGAUACUUCGAUUGGUACAUUUUCUGUGAGUAUGAAUGGGCUAGUCAAUGAUGAUAACAUUGUUGCAGAUCCCGAAGGACUCAUCUUGUUA